UACGUAGGGGGCGAGCGUUAUCCGGAUUCACUGGGUGUAAAGGGAGCGUAGACGGCCAUGCAAGCCAGGGGUGAAAGCCCGGGGCCCAACCCCGGGACUGCCCUUGGAACUGCAUGGCUGGAGUGCGGGAGGGGCAGGCGGAAUUCCUGGUGUAGCGGUGAAAUGCGUGGAUAUCAGGAGGAACACCGGCGGCGAAGGCGGCCUGCUGGACCGCGACUGACGUUGAGGCUCGAAAGCGUGGGGAGCGAACAGG
rnacentral:rRNA from 1 species